AAAAAAAUAACUAAGCCAACAGAGUAAUAGAUGUUAGAGAUUAUGUAGGGAUUAAUGGGCCCAUGAGAUGAGAGACCCAUAAUCCGGAGGAAGCAUGUAAUGUCCCACAUCGGAAAAGUGGGAGGGACCUUGACUAAUAUAUAAGAGAUAUGAGCCACUCCACUUAUUGCCAAUUGGUUUUAGGUUGGAAGCCCAUACGACUUUAAUAGGUGGAAUGACUCAUAUCUCUUAUAUAUUAGUCAAGGUCCUUCCCACCUUUCCGAUGUGGGACAUUACAUGCUUUUUCAGGAUUAUGGGCCUCCCAUCUCAUGGGCCCAUUAAUCCCUUCCUAAUCUCUAACAAUAGAGCAUGUUAGCUAAUGAUUCAUACUUGUUAUGCUGCUUGUUUCUUCACAGACGGCGCAAGACUUGCAGAGGUCACGAGAUGUAUGCGGGCGUUGUU
rnacentral:sRNA from 1 species